rnacentral:rRNA from 1 species
GAUGAACGCUGGCGGCGUGCCUAAUACAUGCAAGUCGAGCGAACAGACGAGGAGCUUGCUCCUCUGACGUUAGCGGCGGACGGGUGAGUAACACGUGGAUAACCUACUUAUAAGACUGGGAUAACUUCGGGAAACCGGAGCCAAUACUGGAUAAUAUAUUGAACCGCUUGGUUCAAUAGUGAAUGACGGUUUUGCUGUCACUUUUAGAUGGAUCCGCGCCGCAUUAGCUAGUUGGUAAGGUAACGGCUUACCAAGGCAACGAUGCGUAGCCGACCUGAGAGGGUGAUCAGCCACACUGGAACUGAGACACGGUCCAGACUCCUACGGGAGGCAGCAGUAGGGAAUCUUGCGCAAUGGGCGAAAGCCUGACGGAGCAACGCCGCGUGAGUGAUGAAGGUCUUCGGAUCGUAAAACUCUGUUAUUAGGGAAGAACAGAUGUGUAAGUAACUAUGCACGUCUUGACGGUACCUAAUCAGAAAGCCACGGCUAACUACGUG